rnacentral:rRNA from 1 species
UACAGAGGGUGCAAGCGUUGUUCGGAAUUAUUGGGCGUAAAGCGCGUGUAGGCGGUUUUGCAAGUCGGAUGUGAAAGCCCUCGGCUCAACUGAGGAAGUGCACCCGAAACUGGCGAGCUUGAGUACGAAAGAGGAUCGCGGAAUUCCCGGUGUAGAGGUGAAAUUCGUAGAUAUCGGGAGGAACACCAGUGGCGAAGGCGGCUCACUGGUCCGGUACUGACGCUGAGGUGCGAAAGCGUGGGGAGCAAACAGG